rnacentral:rRNA from 1 species
ACGGAGGGUGCAAGUGUUGUCCGGAUUUAUUGGGUUUAAAGGGUGCGUAGGCGGUGAAGUAAGUCAGCGGUGAAAGCCUGCAGCUUAACUGCAGAACUGCCGUUGAUACUAUUUGACUUGAGUGUGGUUAAAGUAAGCGGAAUUUAUGGUGUAGCGGUGAAAUGCAUAGAUACCAUAAAGAACACCGAUAGCGUAGGCAGCUUACUGAGCCACUACUGACGCUGAGGCACGAAAGCGUGGGGAGCGAACAGG